AAAGGGGAUCUUGGCCAUUUCCAAACAGGACACCGGCCACCUCUGUGAGGACACGUUCUCUCAGCCCAUCUCCAGGAGCUGACAGGGGCUGUAUGCUUCCGAUUACAUAGCACUUGCAGAUGGAGCUAAUUGGUGACUCCUUUUUAUCACCUCUCCGGUAUCAUCUGGAUGAACUGGCUCUAUCACUCUACAGCCCCAGAAACAGCAGUGCCAUGGCAGUUCCCCAAGCUGGAACCCCUGGCACAAGCUUCAAACAGAAACCGAAAGGCUCUCUUGGCCAGCAAGGUGAUAAUGGCGCAGGCAGCAACACGCACCGGAGCCUCUGAACACCUGGGUUCUUUGCCUUGGCUUUCAGGGGGACUUAAAGGUUUUUAUGCCUCAGUUUCUCAGUUUGCAGCCACCUUGGUAAAUUACUUGAAAGCUUUGU